rnacentral:lncRNA from 1 species
CAGAACUUCCCUAGCAGUACCAACCAAAGCAUUUUCCUUUCCCAGUUGGAUUGCGUGGAGCCUGGAGGUGAAAGCAUCUGGAUGUUGAACAGGUCAUCAUUAAUUUGCAUGAUCAUGGUGCUGGCAAUCCUACUGCAGGUGGUAUUUCUUUUUAUCAGCAAUAAAUAA